rnacentral:lncRNA from 1 species
CGCGCCCGCCCCGCCCCCGCCCCCCCCCCCCCCCCAGCCGCUGCCGUCCGUCCUGCCGCUUUCACAGCAGCUGCAGGCAAGGCCACGCUUUCCUCUUCUCACCUCCUCCCCGAUUAUUUAUUAUGGCUUGCUCCACCUCUGCCUGCGAGCGCGCAGCCUGGGCGUUAGGUAGGCUUUCCAUUUCCUCUUGCGUGCGGCCCCCCGCGCCUCUCCCCGGCUGCCCCAAAAGAUGCCAUCUCAUCCUUUUAAGUUCCGUAAUGUGGGCACCCUGGGGACAUCGCUGUUGCCUUUCCAGACUAAAGGUUGCGUUUCCAGACGUGUUUUGUGUCCCUGAAGCCCUUUAAAGGUAGUGCUGCGUUACAUGGGUCGGAGUCGAUGUUUUCUCUAAGCCGGCUUUAGCCCGAGCAGUUUUGCAGCAGGAGGAAACGCUAUGAGUUGCCCACAAUGUCAAGCAUGGAACUCUUUAGGAAGAAAAUUAAUGCAUCCUUGGACUCCUGAAGGAAGAGCCUUCCUGAUGGGACCAUUUUCAAGCAAGCCUGCCUCCUCCAGCCUCCCUGCUGACAAAUGGUGGUGGAUUAUAGAUGAGGACACGCUGACCCAUUCGACCUUGCUGAGACAGCGGGGAGGGGCCUCCUGCUACUUGAGGGAAGCUCUGGGUCAUUUAAAGGACAAGGUCAUGAGCCAGGUGGGGAAAUGACAUGAUAUCACAUGACAGUAGCCUGAUGACACGGUCAGUAUGUCAAGGACAAACUCAUCAGUAUUGAUUAUGCGGCUUUUUUAUGGUGUCUCAGG